rnacentral:rRNA from 1 species
ACCCGCUGAACUUAAGCAUAUCAAUAAGCGGAGGAAAAGAAACCAACAGGGAUUGCCCUAGUAACGGCGAGUGAAGCGGCAACAGCUCAAAUUUGAAAUCUGGCUCUUUUAGAGUCCGAGUUGUAAUUUGCAGAGGGCGCUUUGGCUUUGGCAGCGGUCCAAGUUCCUUGGAACAGGACGUCACAGAGGGUGAGAAUCCCGUACGUGGUCGCUGGCUAUUGCCGUGUAAAGCCCCUUCGACGAGUCGAGUUGUUUGGGAAUGCAGCUCUAAAUGGGAGGUACAUUUCUUCUAAAGCUAAAUAUUGGCCAGAGACCGAUAGCGCACAAGUAGAGUGAUCGAAAGAUGAAAAGCACUUUGAAAAGAGAGUCAAACAGCACGUGAAAUUGUUGAAAGGGAAGCGCUUGCAGCCAGACUUGCUUACAGUUGCUCAUCCGGGCUUUUGCCCGGUGCACUCUUCUGUAGGCAGGCCAGCAUCAGUUUGGGCGGUAGGAUAAAGGUCUCUGUCACGUACCUCUCUUCGGGGAGGCCUUAUAGGGGAGACGACAUACUACCAGCCUGGACUGAGGUCCGCGCAUCUGCUAGGAUGCUGGCGUAAUGGCUGU